rnacentral:lncRNA from 1 species
CUAAAACAAAGUAAAAGCAAAAAUAAACUUGAAAACCUAAAUCCUCUCUUCAAUCAUAGUCUCAUUUCCUCUUCUUUGCAUUCUGUAGGUGUUGGUGGAGUAAACUGAUUUUGCAUUUUCUUUGCUGCAAAGAUCUUCAAUUGAAGCUUUUUACCAGUAAUAUCCUUCUACUGAGUUUUUUCAGAGAUCGUUUAAGUAUAGGCGUAUUUGUGUUGUAUCCCCGGAUUCAGUAAAAAAUGUCCCCUUCAAUCAAUUUUAUCUUCUUCUCUGAUCAUUGGCGAUGAUGUACUCAAUCUCCUGUGGUACCUUUUCUACAUAAUAGUAUAGGUUAUCUAGAUUAUAGCCUCGAUUAGCAAGGGCAUGUGCUGCCUCAUUUGUCUUUCGGGUGUAUGCUCGAAAAUUAAGGUAAAAAAGCUUUGUAUUUUCCUCUGGAUUUCUUUAAUAAUGUUUCCAAUCACUAAUCUAUCCUCUGUAUCUGAUUUUAGCUUUUUAAUAACAGUUAGAGCAUCACAUUCAACCAUCAGAUCUCAAAAGCCCAUUUCUUUCCCAAAGAUGACUGCCUGUAGACAUACCUUUGCUUCUGCAGUAGUCGAAUCCUUUGUCUUUCCUAAAGGGUAAGAGCAUGCUCCCAUAACAAAGCCUUCAUGAUUUCUUAAGAUAACCCCUGCAAUUGCUAUCGAGUUUUGUUGUGAAUAUGCAGCAUCAAAAUUGGCAUUGAUCUGUCCUCCUAUGGGGGGUAUCCAAAACAUCUCUCUUGGAAUGAUUCUAGUUUCUGUUAAUGACUGAACUUGCUCUAAUUCCUUAAAAUAAGGUAAAAUAAAACCGGCAACCUCUUGUACCCUUUCCUUCUUACCUUCGUGAUAAAUUAUAUUUCUGUUGUACCAUAUUGCCCAAAUAGUUAUUGCCAUGACUGUGCAUGUUUUAGUGUUAUUCAUUUGGAAGAAACUUGCUAACCAUUGUUUCCAUACUUGUCUUGUGUUUGAUUGCGAGGAAUCCAUCCCAACUUCCUAUAGAAUCUAUUUUAUGAAUCCACAAUCUCGAAAAAUGUGCUCCACUGUUUCUUCUCCAAAUAAACAAACUAGACAUUCAGCAUUGUUCCUGAGUCUUCGAAAUUUGAGAAUACUGAGUGUUGGAAUAAAAUUAUUGACCACCCUCCACAGAUGUAUUCUUAUUUUACUUAAGAUCGGGAGAUUCCAGAUCUUUGAAUAAAAUUCUUUAGUGAUAGUUUGGUCUGUAAUAUAAUUAUGUAGGUGUGGAUUCUUAGAUAUUAGCCAUUUGUAAGCACUUUGUUCUGUAUAUUCGCCUGAUUUGUCCCCUCUCUAGACUAGAACAUCCGGCUGUAUCCUAUUCACUAAGGGAAUCGACAAUACUACCUCUGUUUGCUCUACUUCGAGUAAGUUCCGAACUGCCUCAUUGUUCCAUGUGAAUGUAUUUGUAUUAAUAAGAUAUGCUACUUUUGAAUAGCUGAUAUUAAUAUUUUGAACUUUUACUCUUCCAUCAUCAGGUGUGGGUAGCCAAGUAUUAUUCCAAAUAUUUGUUGAUUCGCCAUUCCCUAUCCUCCAUCCUGUUCCUUCCUCAAGCAAGCUUCGUGCAUUCCAAAUGCUGCGCCAGGUAAAGGAGGGGUAAACUCCUAACCUUGCAUUUAAAAAAUUAUCACGUGGAUAAUAUUUUGAUUUCAUAAUUCGCGCAAACAAACAGUCAGGUUGGGUGAUUAGUCUCCAUCCCUAUUUAGCCAACAAAGUCGUAUUAAAUAUUGUUAAAUCCCUAAACCCCAUACCCCCUAAUUCUUUUGGACUACAUAUUGCUACCCAACUGCACCAGUGGAUGCCUUUAUUUGUUUUUAAAUUAGGCCACCAGAAUUUACUCAUCAGAUUUUCUAAUUCUUUGCAAAAUAAAACUGGUAACUUAAAACACUGUAUGGCAUAAAUCGAAAGUGCUUGUAAAAUGGAUUUGAUAAAAAAUUCUUUACCCCCAAAAGACAAGUUGCGAAUGCUCCAAUUUUUUUUUAUUUUUGGAUGAAUCUUUCCUUUAAUUCUAAAAACACACAUUUCUUUCUCCGUCCAACCAUUGUAGGUAACCCCAGAUAUGUUUCUGGAUUGUUUGAAAUCCGAACACCCAAAAUUCCCCCUAUCUGCCCUUUUAAACCGUCUUGAACAUUCUUGCUGAAAUAGAUCAAAGACUUCUCGAAAUUCACUACUUGUUCGGAUAUACUUUCAUAUUCAUUGACUACUACCUUCAUUGUUAUUGCGUUAUUCAUUCACAAAUAAGAUGCUGUCAUCGGCGAAGAAUAAAUGAGUGAUAGCAAGCUCUCCUCUUCCCACUUUGACCCUUUCAGAAAAUCUCUCUUUUAGCCUUGUUCAGAAGCUUAGAGAAUCCCUCUACACAUAUGAUAAAUAAAUACGGGCUCAAUGGAUCUCCUUGUCUGAAUCCCUUUGUUGGUUUAAAUUCUGCCAUUUGAUUCCCAUUAAUUACUACUGAGUAAGACAUUAUUCGUACGCAUUUCAUUCUUAAUCCACCUAUUGCAAAAACCUAGCAUCUUCAUCAUAUUUUCAAUGAAAUUUCAUUCCACUCUAUUAUAUGCUUUGUUCAUAUCCAGUUUUAAAGUAAAAUACCCUGUGCCGCCUCUUUUCUUUUUUUUGAAAGAGUGUAGUAAUUCAUAAGCAAUCAUUAUAUUGUCAGUAAUUUGCCUACCUGGGACAAAGGCACUUUGUAUAUGGUAUAUGGUAUUGCAAAGGCUUAUGGGCCUAAAUUGUCCCAAAUUUGUAGGGGUUUGUACCUUUGGGAUAAGCACGAUAUUGGUUUUAUUAACUUCCUCGAAAUCCAUCCUAUUAUUUAAAACUUGAAGGUAAUAAUGAGUAACGUCUUUUCCUAUUAUAUGCCAGAAUUUUUGGUAGAAAAAUGCUGGGUAUCCUUCUAUUCCAGAUGCUUUGAGAGGUGCCAUGCCUUUUAAAGCUUCCACUACCUCAUCUUCCUUGAAAUCUCUUAUAAGUUCUUCAUUUAGAGAUUCUGAUAUACACGGCUGGAUUUCACUUUUGAGCCUUUUACAAUUUUGUAGUGGAUUGGUAAAAAAAGGAUUCUGAAAGAAAUUGAUUGUUAGGUCUUUAAUGGCGUUGUCAUCGUGAACCCAUCCUCCCCUUCCAUCUUCCAAUUUCUUUAUUAUGUUUCUUUUUUUACGUUGGGUUGCAAAAUUAUGGAAAAAAGCUGUGUUUCGGUCCCCCAUUCGUAAUCAAUUAGCCCUUGCUUAUUGUUCCCAAUACAAUUCUUCUUUAUCAGCUUCCAUGUUGAGUGCUAGCUUAACAUCUGUUACUUCCGCCAAAAUAUCUUCAUUUGGAUCUUUAUUAUUUAAAUAAAUAAGUCGAGAUUUUAAAUCCUCUCUUGUCUUCCAUUUGAAUUUGCGAUUAUCUUUAUCCCAAUUUAUCAAUUUCAAUUUUAGAUCUUCUAAUUUUUCUGGCAGAUUUCUUAUCUUCCAAAUCCCACCUUUGCUUGAUUGCCCCUUCAACAUUAUUUUCCAGUGCCCGGUUAGCAUUAAAUCUAAAAAAAAAAAAUUCUACUGUUCUCAAAACUCCCUCCUUCAUGCGUAUAAUGACCAAAUUGAACGAAUGAAAACAUUAUUCCAUUGUUUUUAAUAGUAUAAUACCAAAUUGAUCUAUUUAAUAAUAGAUGAAUUAAUUCAAUCUGGUCCUAUAAUAGAAAGACCUCUCAAGUGUAUUCACAUUAAAAAUUAUAUUAAGUUGUCUAAAAAUAUAUAUAUAGAAUAUAGAAUAUUAAAUAAAAAUAAUAUAAUUUUUAAAAUAUUAAUAUCAACCUGAUUAAAAUAAAAUUGAAUUAAUCAUUUAGAAAUAAACCAAAAUUUAAGUACAUAUGAGAUGGGAUCGAAUAUGAAUAAAAACAAAAUGUAGAAAAAUGAUAGAUACAUUUCCGGCCAUCGACAGCUUUGAAAAGUAGUUCUUGUGGUGCUAAAUUACUUCGGCACAGAGUUACCUUGUUUUUUCUUCUCUGACAAAUACAUGCAGUAAUAUACUAUUUACAUCAUUUGAUACAAUUCUCCCAUUGAACCUACAAAAAAGACUGAAAUUUUCACCACUUUUCAAUCCUAUUUUCCGGUCUACACAGCUCUUCCUGAAAUGGCUGCAGCAAGGGCUGCCGUGAAAUUGGGGUCUCUGCUCAAAGAAGCCGCCAUUUGAUGAACUAAAAUCUGUUGGAUUGCUGGUGCGUCGAUUUGUAGGGCUGCCCUUUCGGUUUCAUCGCCGCCCAAACCAGCUGGUUGAAGCAGCUCUAGUGUUA